AUGCCACCCGGCCAGCCGUAUCCAACCGGAGCAAACAACACUCGACGUACACGACCAUCUAAGAAGAUGGCGACUAAGCUCGCGGCGCUCAUCGUCUUGGUGGCGUUCCUGGCCGGGCCCCCGGCGUGCGAGGGCGACAUCAUUUGCUUCAACGGCUGGCUGAAGCUACCCAUCCAGGACCCGCGGCUCUGUCCUCAGGGCUCCAUGUCCAGGAUGAACGGCCGUACGCGAGCGCUGGUGCCAGUGCCUCGUCCCUCGGGGUUAGGGCUCGGCCUCGGCUACUACAACAACAGGAGCUCCAGGUCCUACUGCCCGAGAGCGGAAGGGAUCGUGAGGGAUGCCGUAAGCAAGGCCGUCGCCGCGCAACCUGGCAUCGGUGCGGGCCUCAUCCGUCUCUUCUUCCACGACUGCUUCGUUCGGGGCUGCGAUGCUUCCGUCCUCCUCACGACGACCAACUCCAACAACAGCGACACCGAAAGAGAAGGCAACCCGAACAAGAACAGCCUGCGAGGGUUAGAGGUGAUCGACGCGGCCAAGGCGAAGAUCGAGGCCGCCUGCCCUGGGAGAGUCUCGUGCGCCGACAUCGUCGCCUUCGCCGCCCGCGACGCGUCCUCCAUCCUCAGUAACCGUAGGAUCAACAUCCGGAUGCCGGGCGGCCGCUACGACGGCCGCGAGUCCUUCUCCAAUGAGACCGACCAGCUGCCCGGGCCCUUCUCCGGCGCUACGGUGCUCUUGAGUAAUUUCAAGGCCAAGGGGCUCACCUCCGACGAAAUGGUCACCCUCUCCGGCGCGCACACCAUCGGCCGCGCCCGUUGCGCGUUCUUUUCCAGCCGCUUCUCUGAAAUGGACCCGACAUUUGCCGCCAAGCUCAAGGCCCAGUGCAACGACGACGACACCAACGUGGACCAAGAACAUGUGACCCCCGAAGUCCUCGACAAGCGCUACUACCAGGAUGUGAUCGACGGAAAAGCGUUGUUCACCUCGGACGCCGUGCUCAACUCGGCCGAAACAAUAAAGCAGGUGACAGAAAAUGCGAAAAAGGCAGGGGCGUGGGAGAGGAAGUUUGAGAGAGCCAUGGAGAAUUUGGGAAAAAUCGGGGUCAAGACCAAAGCCGACAAAGAUGCAGAGAUCAGGAAGGUAUGCUGGAAGGUCAACAACUAA
rnacentral:rRNA from 1 species